rnacentral:lncRNA from 1 species
UUUUUUUUUUUGAGAUGGAGUCUUGCUCUGUCACCAGGCCUAGAAAAAUGCCUGGCACAGAAGCACUUACUAAAUAUUUGUUAAAUGGAUGAAUAAAUGAUGUGACCAGAAUUCCUUCAUACUGGGUCCGAGACUGGAAAGGGGGAGUUACUGGUUUGGUUUUGGCACUUGUUUAGUCAGCUUGUGCUGCCAUAACAAAACACCACAGACGGAUUGGUUAAACAACAGAUAUUUCUUUCUCACAAUUCUGGACCCUGGAAGUCUGAGGUUAGGGAACCAGCAGAUUCAGUUCCUGGUGAGGGCCCUCUUCCUGCCUGGCAGACAGCUGCCUUCUUGCCAUAUCCUCACGUGGUGAAGAGAGUGGGGAGCUCCAGUCUCUUCUUUUUCUUAAAAGGACACUAAUCCCAUCAUGGGGGCCCCAACCUCUCAACCUCUUCUGAAUCUAAUCACCUCCCAAGAUGCCACCAGUCUCAAGGAGUUUACUGUUACAGUGGCAGCAAAGAUGCUUGCUACAGC